CGGAAGCGACGUUCUGGUCUGUAACUGACGCUGAGCGCGAAAGCGUGGGGAGCGAAACAGGAUUAGAUACCCCAGUAGUCCUAGCCGUAAACGAUGGAUACUAGGUGUUGUCUGUAUCGACCCGGACAGUGCCGUAGCUAACGCGUUAAGUAUCCCGCCUGGGGAGUACGCACGCAAGUGUGAAACUCAAAGGAAUUGUCGGGAGGGAAGCGGAUGGGGGCCGGCGAUGUUCUCGGUCGGAUGUGGAACGGUUAUUGCCGGUCCGCCAAUCGACUCGGGACAUCGACCGACGCGGAUUGUGAUGGUGGCCCAAGCCUGGGUUGUUGAAAUGCUCGCCGGAGACGUCAUCAUCACGAUUGUGGACGGCAGCGCGCGCUGUUUCGGCGUGCUUCGGCACUUGUGUGCUCCUGGCGUCGGCCUGUGGGCUCCCCAUUCGACCCGUCUUGUAACACGGACCAAGGAGUCUGACAUGUGUGCGAGUCAACGGGCGAGUAAACCCGUAAGGCGCAAGGAAGCUGAUUGGUGGGAUCCUCUUGUG
rnacentral:rRNA from 1 species